CUCUCAGAUGCUAGCACCCGGUCCGGACACACGGUCUAACAUUUAUCUAUACUUCCGACUCUGUUCCAUUCCACCGGCGCGGUUCCCUGUCCCUAGCGGCGAUUCGGUUCACCGGCGGUGCGGCACGCACGGCGCCUUGCUGCAGGAUGGGCAGCAGAUGCCUCCGCGGCUCGUGGCUCGCCCUAUGAUCGUCCUGUAGGAUAAGGGAUGGCAGGCGGCUGUCACCCAGAGCCCACGCUCGUCGGCGGGUACUCAUCCGUUCGCCGGAUUGAGCCCCCCCCUGCUCGACUACUUGACGACAACGGCCCUCGCGAGUCGUGGCCCCCUCUUCGAAUCGAGACCCGGUACCCUCGAAUCUCUGAUUCCCCUCCGCCGCCCUGCCCAAAGACGGCCUCGGGUCGGGAUGGGGUUGGACGAGGGGGCUGCGGGCCGCCCGUUCCACAAGCGCCGCCGAUCUCGGGUUGGACAAGGUGCUCAACUUCGGUGUCUUCGGCGGCGGGGGUGAAGGGGAGGAGGCUGGUGGGGGCGACGGCCAGCCGGCGACGGCGUAGUACAAGUCCAAGGCCGAGCGGAGGCGCCGUGGCAGCCUAACAGCCACAUCCUCGCGGUCAGGGCCGUCGUGCCCAACAUCACCAAGGUGCCCUGACCCUUUUCCCUUUUGUUCCGAUGAGCAAGGAGUCCACCCUGUCGGAUGCGAUCGACCGCAUAAAGAAGCUCCAGAACCAGAUUAUGUGAUGAAGCAACAAGUGCUCUUGAUAGGACUACUGAAGCCUCAAUUUUGAAUUCUCUGAAAUCUUUAUCUGUUGGCCGAGCAUCAACUUUUAUUGCUCAUCAACUCACAACUGCAAUGCAGUGUGAUCAGGUAUGCUUUUGCAACUUCUCAAGAUUCAAGAAACCUCAGUACUCUUUGAACUCAUCUAUUUUCCAGACUAUAUAUAACUACAAAGCUUCCCAGUACACUCUAGAGUGGCAACUGCUUGUUGAUUUCAUCUUUUCUCUGAUAUUUUGAUGAGUCCUGUUUCAAGUUUGAACUUAAAGAUAAUUGUUUCGGAGAAUGGGAAUUUAAUAGAACAAGGACCCCAUGAUGCUCUUCUGUCAAAGGUUGGGCGAUAUGCGGAAUUGUGUUUUCAUUAGGACAGCAGUGAUGCCAUUGACCCUGCUGUAGUUAACCUAGAGGUUUGAUUGACAGUGUAUACUUUUCCUUUCUGCAAGGGAAACAGUCUCGUACCUGAGAGGGGAGCAGGUUUCAACUUAUCUGCGCCUUGUAAAUGGAGUAGGAUUUUAGAUAUGUGGGGACGUAAUUCUUUUUCCCCUUCGAGAUUAUAUAGACAAUCCCGGCUGUUUUUUUCAUGGCAAUGUAACAUUUCUUUAGCACAAGGAAUAAGACUAGUAAAUAUUUAUUUGUCUUGGCCCAAUUAUCAUUUUGGU